AUUGAACGCUGGCGGCAGGCCUAACACAUGCAAGUCGAACGAGUGGCGGAUGGGUGAGUAAUGUCUGGGAAACUGCCAGCUGGGGGGGGAUAAAUACUGGACACGGUAUCUAAUCACACAUACCCACAUAUGUGCACAGAUGGGAUUAGCUUUUUGGGGGGGUAACGGCUCACCAAGGCGAAGAGCCCUAGCUGGUGUGAGGUGAUGACAAGCCACACUGGAACUAGGACACAGUCCAGACUCCUACGGGAGGCAGGAGUGGGGAAUAUUUCACAAUGGGCGCAAGACAGAUGCAGCCAUGCCGCGUGUAUGAAGAAGGCCUUCGGGUUGUAAAGUACUUUCAGCGGGAAGGCGUUACCCGCAGAAGAAGCACCGGCUAACGCCGUGCCAGCAGCCGCGGUAAUUC
rnacentral:rRNA from 1 species